rnacentral:lncRNA from 1 species
UGAGCUAUGAUUGCACCACUGCACUCCAGUCUGGGCGACAGAACCAGACCAUGUCUAAAAAGAAAAAACACUCAGUGAUAAUUUCACAUUACAGUUUGAGAGGUUCCUGUUGACUUGGGGAAACUAGUUUUAGCAGACUUCAUUAAAGGAGUGUACACCUUACUACAGGAUGUAAUUUAAAAUAGAAUGUUUAAAUAAUAAAUUCACUUCUGGGUAUAUACUCAAAGCAGGAAUUCAAACAGGUAUUUGUACACCAAAGUUCGUAACAGCAUUAUUCACAGUAGCCAAAAUGUGGAAACAACCCAAAUGUCCAUUAAAGGAUGAAUAAACAAAAUGUGAUAUACAUACAAUGGAAUAUUCAGCCUUUAUUUUUCCAAUCAGAGUUUCAGGAAAAUCAACCUUUAAAAGGAGUGAAAUUCUGACAUUUGCUGCCACAUGGAUGAAUCUUGAUGAUGAUAUGCUGAGUGAUAUAUAAUCAGUCACGGAAGGACAAAUACUGCAUGAUUCAAUUUAUAUCAGAAGACUAAGGGGCCCCACGGAGAGGCCCACAUGGAGAAAACUCAAUCCCCCCUCACCCGCUAUCCCAGGCUGUCAGCCAGCACCACCUUGUCUUGCCAGCCAUGUGAGUGAGCCAUGUUGGAAGUGAAUCCUCCAGGCCCGGUGAGCCAUUUAAACUGACUGAAGACAGCAGCUCUGUCCAUGUGCACAGAGAGUGGGAAGUGCCUGAAAAUUUACAUUUUCCUAGGUAGUGCUUUGCUAAUGACUGACCGGUGUGGAUGUAUAAAAGUCCAGCUCCGUGAUCUCAGACUUCCGGCCUCCAGAACUCAGGCCCUGACAUUGUAUAAGCUUCAGGCCCCACAAAACCUGGAUCUGCCCUGCCAGGAUCAGCAUCUAGAGGAAAACUACUACUUCCACAAUAGCACAACCAAUCUGAUCAUCCCUGCAUCAGUGAGCAUUCUCCAGAGAAACAGAGCCAACAGGAUAUGUGUAUAUAUGUGAAGAAAGACUUAUUUUAAGGAGUUGGCUCAUGCAAUUAUGGAGGUGCAAGUCCAAAAUCUGUAGGGCAGGCAGAUGGGCAGACUGGAGACCCAGAGAAGAGUUGCAGUUCAAGUCCAAAGUCGGUUGGAAGAAUUCCCUCUUGCUGGGUAACACUGGGGAAGCAGGAGUAGAUGGAAAGGGGAGGUGUCAGGCUUUGCUCUACCAAGGACUUCAACUGAUUGGAUGAGGCCCAGUAACAUUAUGGAGGGAAACCUGCUUUGCUCAGAGUUUACUGAUUUAAAUAUUAAUCUCAUCCACAAAAAAAUAAAUAACCUUCACAGAAACAUUUAGAAUAUUUGACCAAAUAUCUAAGUCCCAUGGCUCAGACAACUUAACACAUAAAAUUAUCCAUCACAAUUCCAUUAUCCCAAUACAGGUCGGCAGGGCCUUGGGCAGGUGGUAACCUCAGCUCUGGAGUCUACAGCAAUACUCUCACACUUAACAGAUGUAGUUCUGUGGGUCCAGGUCCCACUUCGCAAGAGAGAAUCUGAUGGGCUAAUUUCGACCAAGUCUCCUUUCCUAGUUCAAUCACGUGUAAGGGUUAGAGAAAGGGUUGGGCUCACAAGGGACUUAGGGCUGCCUCUCUGGACUUGGGAGAGCAGGACUUCUCAAGAGAUAAAUGGUUAGAGAGUAAUAUAAUUUGGAUAUUUGUCCCCUAUAAAUCUCAUGUUGAAAUUUGAUGUUCAAUGUUGAGGGCAGGUCUGGGACCUCCCUCCCUGCUUUUGCUCCCCCUCUCGCCAUAUGGCACAACUGCUCCCUUCACCUUCUGCUAUGAAUGGAAGCUUCCUGAGGCCUUCACCAAAAGCGGAGGCUGGUACCAUGCUUCACGCACAGCCUGCAGAAUCAUGAGCCAAAUAAACUACUUUUCUUUAUAAAUCAUCCAGUUUCAGGUAUUCGCUUAUAGCAACACAAAAUGGACUAAUACAGAGAGGAAAUAUUUUGAGCACAUUGAAGGCCCCAAAAUAUUGAGCUUUUUUUUUUUAACCUAUAUAGUACUUUUCUUGCAUCUCAGUUUGCUUAUCUAUAGAAUGAGGAUUAAUAAGACCUACCAACUUCAGGGGGUCAUUCUGGUGAGAUAAGUGAAAAAAUUUGUAAAGAAGUGUAUAAAUUUACCAUUGUUUUUUAAAACUAAAAUGAUCUCUAACACUAAGUUGAUGAUCUGAUCACAAAGAUGGGGUAGAUGAAAUGAAGAGAAAAGGUUUCUGACAUUUGUAUACUUAGAAAUGUAUCCAGGCUGGGCAUGGUGGUCCAUACCUGUAAUCCCAGCACUUUGAGAGGCCAACGCAGGAGGGUCACUU